UGGAACAUUUCAGGAUGGAUGGGGAAGAUGAGUCCUGUUCCUCACUGAAACUGUCCAGAGUCUCUUACCUCUGUCCACGUCACACGAUGUGUUUGGACAGCUAGGUGAAUGGCUGGAUGUGUUAUCCAAACACUGAGUAAUGCUUGUCACCGCUCUGCUGUGACACUGACCAGUCAACACGGCUUCCCCUGGGCAUCAGCCACAUGUGAUGGAGGCAGAGAAGAACGAAUCUGCCUGAAUAAUGCCCACGGACAAUUCAUGUUGCUUCUUUGCUGCUGUCUGGACUGUCUUUUCCAUGUAGUCUCCUUCUUCAGUCCUUACUCCUGCCUGUUGCUUCUUGCUCUGGAGUCAAGGCCAUGAGUUGUUUUAAUGGGCGAUUUCACAACAGGAGAAAGCAGCUCCCUUUUCUUCUGGAAAAGCAUGUCAGAACUGCUGGUUUUGCUUUGGACUGCAAGAUGUUUGGAAAGCCACAUGCUUUUUCUGAAGCCGGUUCCAUCCCCUCCGUGCCAGCCUCAGCUGCUGUGUUUGCUUACGCCCAGAAUGCCGGAUCCUGUCCGCAAUGAGAUAGAGCAGAGGAGAAUGUCAGCUCAAGACUGACCAAACAGCACUGGAUUUCAUGUAAUCAUGGCCAAAUUCUUCCUGGCAGUCACUUGUACAGCCUUCCCGAACCAAUGGGGAAAGUCCUGAACCACAUAAUCUGAUCUCCCCAGCUAGAACUUCUCCUGGAUGACCUGUCCUGCUCAAAGCAGUUCUGCAGGCAGGAGAGAAGAUGCAUGGUACAGGAG